rnacentral:rRNA from 1 species
GGUGAGUAAUGCUUAGGAAUCUGCCUAUUAGUGGGGGACAACAUCUCGAAAGGGAUGCUAAUACCGCAUACGUCCUACGGGAGAAAGCAGGGGACCUUCGGGCCUUGCGCUAAUAGAUGAGCCUAAGUCGGAUUAGCUAGUUGGUGGGGUAAAGGCCUACCAAGGCGACGAUCUGUAGCGGGUCUGAGAGGAUGAUCCGCCACACUGGGACUGAGACACGGCCCAGACUCCUACGGGAGGCAGCAGUGGGGAAUAUUGGACAAUGGGGGGAACCCUGAUCCAGCCAUGCCGCGUGUGUGAAGAAGGCCUUUUGGUUGUAAAGCACUUUAAGCGAGGAGGAGGCUACCGAGAUUAAUACUCUUGGAUAGUGGACGUUACUCGCAGAAUAAGCACCGGCUAACUCUGUGCCAGCAGCCGCGGUAAUACAGAGGGUGCAAGCGUUAAUCGGAUUUACUGGGCGUAA